AGAAGUCCCGGCAAACUCCGUGCCAGCAGCCGCGGUAAUACGGAGGGGGCAAGCGUUGUUCGGAAUUAUUGGGCGUAAAGGGCACGUAGGUGGACUAGUAAGUUAAAAGUGAAAUACCAAAGUUCAACUUCCGAGCUGCUUUUAAUACUCCUAGACUAGAGGUCGAAAGAGGAUAGCGGAAUUCCUAGUGUAGAGGUGAAAUUCGUAGAUAUUAGGAGGAACACCAGUGCCGAAGGCGGCCAUCUGGUUCCAUAA
rnacentral:rRNA from 1 species